UUGGAACCGCCUUUAAUCAAUCCGACUGAGAAUGGGAGCUUAGUUUGAAUUGCAUUAUAAAUAAUACUACGCUCCUCUAUUUGCUUCACUUUUCCGCCAAGUCAUCGGUUCCUAACUACCGACAACCUCUGAUCUUUUGCUUCUUCUUGUUCUCCCUUGCUGUUCGAUUUCUAAAUCAACCAAUGGAUAUCCUGGUGAGAACCAUAGACAACCCGAAACCCUCCUUUUACGAUUCUUCUGUUGGUGCAAAGAAACCCAACAACUUUUACGAUUCUUCAGUUGGCGCCAAGAAACCUAACAGUCAAGCAACAAAACUUUGCAAAUUCUGGGCCAAGGGAAGAUGUGCGUUCGGCAGUAACUGUAAGUUUUUGCACUCUUGGUAUCUCUCCGGCAAUGGCUUCUCAAUGCUUGCAAGACUACAAGGCCAUAAAAAAGCUGUUGUAGGUAUUGCUCUUCCUUCAGGCUCUGAUCAGCUUUAUACUGGCAGUAGAGAUGGUACUGUUAGGGUCUGGGAUUGUAAAUCUGGCAAUUGCAAUCAUGUAAUCAAUUUGGGUUUUGAAAUUUACUCUUUUAUCUGCGAAGGCUCAUGGGUUUUUAUUGGACUAUCAAAUUCUGUUAGAGUGUGGAGUUUGAGUGAAUCUGAUAUUAAAGAGUUCUCCUUAGAUGGACCAGUUGGUCGAGUAUAUGCUUUGGCGGUAUACAAAGAUAUGUUAUUUGCUGGAGCAGCUAAUGGUGAUAUUUUGGUGUGGAAAGGAAGUUUUGAAGAAAAUCCCUUCAAAUUGGUAGCAAACAUAAGAGCACAUAAAAUGCCUAUUACAUGUUUGAAUAUUGGCUUUAAUGGUAAAUUCUUAUAUUCAGGCUCUAUGGACAGUACUGUGAAAGUUUGGGAUUUGGAGACAUUACAGUGUAAUCAAAUACUGGAAGGCCAUAAUGAUGUGGUUAUGUCUCUUCUUAGUUGGGAUAACUGUUUAUUGACAUGCUCCUUAGAUCAUACAGUCAAGUUUUGGGUUAUAAAAGAAGGAGAAGGCAAAUUAUUAGAACAAGUGCACACAAAAGAAGAGAAGGCUGGGGUUCUGAAAGUGAUUGGCAUGCAAGAUUCUCAAGGGAAGCCUGUUGUGUUGUGUUCGGGCAAUGAUAAUUGUGUUAGAUUAUAUGACUUGGAGUCUUUCACUGAAAGGGAUGCUGAAAGGGAUAGGAUCUUUGCAGAGCAAGAAGUAAGAGAAAUUCAAAGAGGUCCUCAUGGCCUUUUUUUCACAGGAGAUGCUAGUGGUGUUGUUACUGUUUGGAUUUGGCAGUAGACAAUGCGCUCCGUCUUCUCCAUUUCCAUUCUAUUCAAAGCUGAUGAGCAGAAAGCUUGUAUUUAAGCUGUGUAAUUCCUAUUUUGGAUAGGUUUAUUUCUUGAGGCUUUCUGCUGGAAUUCCUGUAAGGAAUCUAUUCCUGGAAAAGACUAUGAAGCAAUCAGAGAGGAUUGUGUCAGUUUAGCUAACUAGAUUCCUUCUUCUUGGCUAUGUAAAUUUGCUCACAAAACACAAAUAUGUAUAUAAAUACAUUAAAAGUAAAUGUAUGGCUGCAAUUGAUUUUGAAGGGAACUAAAUUAGGUAAAGUGCAUUCAAGGA